AGACCACAAAUAGUUACUUUAAUAAUUGUUUCCUUAAAAAAGUUUAGAGAAUUAAUGCAUACGUGAAGAAAAGCGGUCCCUCCCCAGGGACAGGAAACAUGAAGGGGAGCAGUCCCGGCAACCAUCCUCCUGAACAGGAAAUGCAGCCAAGGUGGGCGAGCGGUGACCAUAAAUGACUUGUCUUUAGACAUCAGGACAUCAACAGGAGGACACUAAAUCAAGGAAAUGUGUGUGAUGCUGCACAUGUGCUGAAAAGAUUUCUUCUUUCAACUCAAAGGACGAAGUGACCACCCCCUCCAGACAGCCUGAUUAUGCCCUUUCCAAUAAUAAAUCAUGGCACAAUGGGCCCCGAGGAGUCGUGGGGGCAGCGGAGGAAACACCUUCUCCUAUCAAGGAAAGGCAAAAAUAGCCGGAUACUACAGCCGCUUUCCUACAUGUCAAACAAACACAAACAUUUAAAUAAUGCCGGAAAACAGGAGAGGAUGCCAAAUAAUGCUCCAAGUCGAAUGUAAGGAGUCUUCAGAACAAACUGCCAUUGAUUUUUCUAAACAAACUUCCUUUGUUUUCGACGGAAACCCGGCAAAUCCCAAAAAGUGCAAAUUACAUUUUCUUAUGGAGCAAAAACUGAUUUCCAGAAAUAAAGUUAGCAGUUCAGUUUGUUAAAUUCCACAUCAAUCUUUAUCAACAAUCUUCUGCUUUGUAUAAACGGCGUCUCCUCCGUGACCUUUCUGACUCUUUCUUCAUAUUUUUUUCAAAUUUAAUCAAAAUUAGUGUCCUUCUUGGGUUAAUGAGGUUAAACAGGAUUUGAUCCAAUUUGAAUGACAAUAAUUAUAAGAAUCAAGGGUUGUUAUUUGGGGGGGAGAAAACUGCUUCCUGCUGAGCUCUCUAUUUGAUCUCCGGUUCACUGACUGAUCUUUGCAUCGAUUACAACAAAACAGGAGAAAGCCCUGGAGAUCAGAUCAGAGGGAGAAAGUGAUCUAAGGAGAGAUUAAAAGACAACAUCUUUAGAAAAAAAAUGAAAAAAGUAAAUUUACCCAAAAACUUCGGCUAAAAAACAGACCUUUCAAGAGUUUACUGCAAUUUUCAAGGCCUACUAAACUUAAAAAUAAUUAAACAGUAAAUAUAUAUACAUAUUUUUUGCAUAAAAACUGUUUUUAUUCUGAAUAAAAGCACAAAUCUUACA